rnacentral:lncRNA from 1 species
AGGGCAAAGCUAAACUGCCCAUCAGUUGCCUGAAAGGAUCACAAAGGAUCAGUGGUCAGUAUGGUGAAGUGACUUCAUGAAGAGUCUCAAUCUGUUACCCAGGCUGAAGUGCAGUGGCACCAUCUUGGCUCACUGUAACAUCCACCUUCCAGGUUCAAGAGAUUCUCCUGCCUUAGCCUCCCAAGUAGCUGGCCAGGAUUUUCUAAGGGAAAUGGCAAAACACUGAAGGCUUGAAAAUAUUGAAGUAAUAUGAUGAGA